rnacentral:rRNA from 1 species
UAACUGGAGAGUUUGAUUCUGGCUCAGAAUGAACGCUGGCGGCGUGCCUAACACAUGCAAGUCGUACGAGAAAGGGGCUUCGGCCCUGAGUAGAGUGGCGCACGGGUGAGUAACGCGUGGGUAAUCUACCCUUGGAUUUGGGAUAACUCUGCGAAAGUGGAGCUAAUACCGGAUAGUCUGGCUUUAAAUAAGAAGUCGGUAAAGGAUGCCUCUGCAUAUGCAUUCGUCCGAGGAUGAGCCCGCGUCUCAUUAGCUAGUUGGUAGGGUAAUGGCCUACCAAGGCAACGAUGAGUAGCUGGUCUGAGAGGAUGAUCAGCCACACUGGAACUGAAACACGGUCCAGACUCCUACGGGAGGCAGCAGUGGGGAAUAUUGCGCAAUGGGCGAAAGCCUGACGCAGCAACGCCGUGUGAGGGAUGAAGGCUUUCGGGUCGUAAACCUCUGUCGGAAGGGAAGAACGGGCAUUGGUCUAAUAGGCCUUUGUUUUGACGGUACCUUUAGAGGAAGCACCGGCUAACUCCGUGCCAGCAGCCGCGGUAAUACGGAGGGUGCAAGCGUUAUUCGGAAUUACUGGGCGUAAAGCGCACGUAGGCCGCUUUGUAAGUCAGGGGUGAAAUCCCACGGCUCAACCGUGGAACUGCCCUUGAAACUGCAGAGCUUGAAUCCUGGAGAGGGUGGCGGAAUUCCUGGUGUAGGAGUGAAAUCCGUAGAUAUCAGGAGGAACACCGGUGGCGAAGGCGGCCACCUGGACAGGCAUUGACGCUGAGGUGCGAAAGUGUG